AUCUUAUAUAUUCUUGAUCACUUUAACAUUAUACAGUGACCAUCUUUGUCUUUUGUGACCAAUUUUGACUGACAGUCUAUUUUUGUGAUAGAAGUGUACCCUCCCCUACUCUCUGUUUACCAUUACGUGUGAUAUCUUUCACUAUCUUUUCAUUUUCACCUUAUGUGUAUCCUUAAAGGUGACAUGAGUCUUUUAAUAGGCAGCAAAUUAUUUCAUAUUGUUUUCUACAAAAAAAUCUUGUCUUGUCAUUCUAUCUUUCCACUGUAGAAUUUUAUUUACAUUUAAUAAAAGUUUUGACGGUAAGGCUUUUGUUAUUGUGUUUUGUUAACUGUUUUUUGUUGUGCAGUUUGAGUGUUUCUUUUUCUUCUCUUGCUGUCUUCUCUUGUGAUUUGGUGAUUUAUCUGUGGCGGAGUGGUAGGUUUAUAUUCUUUUGUCUUCACCGUUUAUGCACUUCCAAGAGAUUUUAACUUUAUGGUUACCAAGGGGCCUACAUAAAGCAUCUUAUAUUUAUAAAAUUUUAUUUUAACCUGAUAAUGACAUAGCAGCCAUCUCAUACAGAAACUACACUUUUACCAGGCCUCUGUUUUAUGAUAUUGUUGCCACGUUUUGCAUGUUUUUAUUUUGUGUGUCUAUUAGCAAAUCAUUAUAAUUACAAUUUGGAAGAUAUUUUUGUCCUUUAAAUUUUAUUGUAGAGGGCUGGGAUUGUGGAUCAGCGGUAGAGUGUUCGCCUAACACGUGCGAGGCCCUGGGUUCGAUCCUCAGCACCACAUAAAAAUAAAUAAAUAAAAUAAAGGUAUUGAGUCUAAC
rnacentral:lncRNA from 1 species